ensembl:lncRNA
ACUUCCUGCUGCAGAUGAGCAACCCAGAACUGUGACAAUGACCCAACACCUCCAGGCGGUGUAAGGGCUAUUAGACCAAGAAGGAGAGUGAUGGAGGGCUGCAUCAGAUGACCUGUUCUUCACAAUCACCCGACCUCAACCAAAUUGAGAUGGUUUGGGAUGAGUUGGACCGCAGAGUGAAGGAAAGGCAGCCAACAAGUGCUCCGCAGUUGUGGGAACUCCUUCAAGACUGUUGGAAAAGCAUUCCUGGUGAAGCUGGUUGAGAGAAUGCCAAGAGUGUGCAAAGCUGUCAAGGCCAGGACCUCUCUGUUACUUCCUCUUUCCCAUCAGACUCGCACUGAC